rnacentral:rRNA from 1 species
AUGCAUAUCCUGAAGGACGUAGGCGACCUUGGCGGAGUCGGAGUAGCUGGGAAGCGACAUGCCGCCGGCGGCGAGCGAGAGCUUGGCGGCGCCGAUGGAGGCGACGCCGAGCAUGGGCAGCUCGGCGGGGCUCCACUCGUAGUAGGCGCCGCCGUAGGCCUUGGCCGGCUGCCUCGGGGUCAGAUCCACCGCCAUCGAAAAAGGAGAAGCUGCUACGAUCGAUCGAGAGGUCGGUUGGUUGGGGGGUUGGAGGGUUGCCGGGAGCUGGAGGGCGUGAUCGUAUCGCCGUAUCGGUGCAACGUAGCGGAGCCGCCACGCCGCGUCGUCGUUCCACAGCCUCGCGUGCGUCGGCCUCGCCGACAAGUGCGGCGCGGGCGCGGCGGGCCAUCUCUACGGCCCGAGCAGAGGCAUCAGCGCGACCCCUGUGAGGCUGCUCCCCGCGGCCCCUGCGAGGCUGCUUGCGUCGACGUCGGCACGCUGGAGUUCCGGUCCGUGGUGGAGCCCGUCAGCCGCAUCCAGCCGGCGCUCGCCACCCGCCCCGGAUCAUACUUCUUCCUCGCCAACUGCACCGGCAUCGACACGCGGAAGCACGAGGUGUACUGCACGGUGGCGGCCGGCGGCGAGCAGCUGCCCACCAACCCCUACCGCUUCAGGGUGGCCUACGACAAGCUUGUGAUCGCCAGCGGCGCCGAGCCGCUCACCUUCAACGUCAAGGGCGUCCAAGAGAACGCAAUCUUCCUCCGCGAGGUGAACGAGGCGCAGCAGAUCAGGCGCAAGCUCCUCACCAACCUCAUGCUCUCCGAGAACCCAGGUAGCUAA